rnacentral:lncRNA from 1 species
UAUUUUCAGAGAAUGUUAAUGUUGUUUUUAUUGCAUAACAAAUUUCUAGGUAACCUUAGAGUCAAGAGAAAAAGGAUCUUCUAUUUUCUUAAAACACUGAUUCACUGCAGAGCUCAUAAAUGCUAAAUUACAGCAUGGCAGGCAAGUGAAAAGAAAAUAAGAAAGCAAUGACUAUCUACAUAAUUUAUUUCUAAAUCAUAGUCCAUAGGCUGAUUUCUUUUAGCAUUUGGCACUUUGCCAAGCUGAUGAACCCCCUAUCCACAUGAAGUCAAGACCCACAGAUAAUAUGGAUUUCCCUUUCUCCAGCAUUGGCAAGCACCUAAGUAAUAUGAAGUAUUUGGAAGAGCUUGUUUAUAUAUGUCUGUAUUGUCACCCAUCAAUUUGAUCUCUUUGGUGACUUAGAAUUCCUGAUGUCCUCUGAGCCUACUCUGGGGUAAUAGUUCCAUCCCUCAGUGUAAUGGAAUUUUUUAUUUUAAUGAAAAAGUUCUUAGUGUAAUUAGGCAUGCAGAUAAAUAGACCAGCAAUUAUGGUGCAUCAUAAUAAAUGCUACAUUAGAAAUGUGCAAAAGUGAUAUGAGAGGUAGAGACAGAAUCCCUCACUCCAUAUUAAGGAAUCAUAACAGGAUUCCUGGAAGAGGAACUGAAGCUUAAGUUAUAAAGGUUAGCUUUACCUUGAGGCAAGGUUAUCUGAAAGCUCUUUCAGACUGGGUAUAAAUGGAUAUAUUAAUCUGUUCUCACGCUGCUAUAAGGGCAUACCUGAGACUGGGUAAUUUAUAAAGUUCCACAUGGCUGAGGAGGCCUCAGGAAACUUACAACCAUGGCAGAAGGCACCUCCUCACAGGGUGGCAGGAGAGAGAAUGAGUGUCGAGCGAAGGGGGAGGCCCCUUAUAAAACUAUCGUAUCUCAUGAGGACUCACUAUCACAAGAAUAGCACAGGAAGAACGUCCACCAUGAUUCAAUUAUCUCCACGUGGUCCUGGCUUUGACAGUGGCGAUUAUUACAAUUCAAGGUGAAAUUUGGGUGGAGACGCAGAUCCAAACUAUAUCAAUGGGUAAGAGGAGUUAAGGCCGUAGGAGUGAAGGGAUUGGUGGAGCUCUGUAAAGGCAGUAAGGCCAGGUACAUGGAGGAUCCAGUGUUCCCAUCUGCUAAAAUGCUCCAGUCAUGAGAAAUAAGGCAAGAGAGGAGAGGAAGGGUAAGUAGCAAAGCAUAACUUUUCUGAAUUGGAAUAGCUGAUCGUGCCUUCUGGCACAGAAGAUGCAUACCCAACUCUCAGAUCUCACCUAGAGAAAACAGUUCUGCCUCACUCAACCAGAGUUACUCUAAGUAUGAGCCAUCUGCCCUCAUCUCACCUGGCUGGCUCGCCCUGUCUCAAAUGACUGAUGUCAAGGUAAGAACUGUCUUUCCAUCUAGACCAUGCCAUUUGCUGAUCUUUUCCCCUACCUCAUCAUUUCUAGAACAAGUGAGUCAGACCAGGGUAAUCAGGGAUGGGGGCUUCAGCUGAUCCAGUCAGGAGAAAGCCAGGCCUCAGGUCAUUAAAGCCAGAAGAAGGCCAUGCUGGCUCACCACUAGGCUGAUCCCACAAUGUCCUUGGGGCAGCAAAACAGGGGCCUUGAGUAUCCUAUUGAAAGAAUGUUCUGUUUCAAAAAUAUCCUCAAAGCUAUUGUCCUAGGAAAUAUAAGAAUGUUGUGUUAUAAUUCCCUACACUUACAUUAGUUUAUAUAAAGACCGUAAUCUGGCCCUAGUUGAAGGUUGGUGUAUUGAGACCAGGCCCCUCAUUUAAAGUGUUUCUGGAACAGAAGGGCUGGAGUGAGAAGUCCAUGGGGGACCUGUUCUCAAGAAUAACUGAGAUCUGUAGCAAUGUUGUAAAGCGCUUUCAUAAACUGCAUCUCAUGUCUUCCUCACUAAAACUUACAAACUGCAUUGUAUUAAUAAUUCUUACUUUGCCAAUGGGGAAAUAGAUGCUAGGGGAAGUCGCAUAAUUAACCAAGUUCCUUAGCUGGUGGGAGUAACAUUUAGAACUCAUAUCCAGAUCUCUUGACUCCUGAGCCCACAGCUUCAGUCUCUACCCAAAGCCGUGGUCUUGUGAAACUCUUAUAAGCUCAUAAUUGUUUCACCUCAGCUAUGAGGGCGUGUGCUGAAGGACAGAAAAUCUAGCCCUUCAAGGUCUGGACUUAUGAGUCCAAGGCAAGAGCAAAGUUAGCUGAACUCAGGCUGAGCUAAUAAAUUGAUUUUGCACCCCUUAUAUUCAUUCAGCUAAGGCCAGAAUCAUGCAGCCUGGAUGUACAGGUGGGUAUGAGGUGACCCCAGAUGGCAGAGUGCAGGAGUAGGUGGGGGGUGGAUAAUUACAACAAGACUUUGCCUUAUCUCUAAGUAUUCUUGUCCUGUGGGGUGACCUUGAGAAAUUGUUCUACUUCCCUGUUUCUCUAGCUCUGCAAUGAAUUGAAUAUGUGAGUGCCUAUGCUGUGAAGAUGUAGGGAUGCUCCCUGUCCUCAAGAUGCUCACAUCCAGAAGAAUGCAUUUUAAAAGGUCUAGGAAAAUGCCAGUAACUAAACUCGUGUUUAAAAAUGUAACAUUUGAGAAGAUCCUAGGAUUGCUGCAUUUGUCAAUGGAUAAUGUAAGUAGCAGUUCAUCAACCUGCGAACACUGUACCACAUUCACUGGUACACAGUUACAACCUAGAAACCAUCAGCAAUCUAGUGUGCAGCCCAAGAGACUGUCCCUUCUUUCAGUCAUUACUCCCUUCUCUGAUUUCUAACAGCAUAGGUUAGUUUUGUCUGCUUUUGUAUUUAAGUAAAUGGAACCAUUUUCUAUGUACUCUUUUGACUCUGACUUUCCUUCAUUACUGGUUGUGAGAUUCACCCAUUACAUAGUUUGAUUUUAAAUCUUGCUACUUUCAGGCUCUGUAACUUAGGGAAGUUGCUAUAGAAUCAGGGUAACAAUAGCUAAUACUUAGGAGUGAGUGCAAGAAUGAAAUAACAGGAGAAGGCCUCUCAGCCAGUGCCUAUUUCUAACAGAUGCCCUUCCUAUCUCUCGUCCGAUAGCCUCUUCUGUCCCACCCUACUCCUUGACCUUGAUACCACACUGCAGCUUCCUCUAGCUCUUCUCACAUGGGUCUGGGCAUCUGCAGCAGUGGGCAGGCAACACCCAGGCUCCUGGAAGAUCUGCUUUCCCUAAUUAAUAGGCUUCAUAAAGAACUCUGAGGAUAAAAAUAAAAGCCAUAGUCUGGGAGAAACUACUUGGUGAAGAACCUGUAUCCAGAAUGUAAAAAGAGACCUCUCAAAACUCAAAAGUAAGAGAAUAAAUACACAACUAAAAAACUGGGCUAAGAGUUUGAACAAAUAUUUCACCAAAGGAGGCAUGUGGAUGACAAAUAAACACAUGAAAAGAUGCUCAACAUCAUAAGUCAUUAGGAAAAUGCAAAAAUGUUGCGGGAAGUCAAGGACCCCGAAUGGAGGGACCAGCUGA